UUUAUCUUACGUACUUUCUAUAAUUGUUAUAGUGUUAUGGGAAACAAGAAAGACAAAGCUUUAAGGUCAAGCAUCUCAAUGAGAUAUAUUAUCUAUGAACAAGAAGAGCAAAUUAGAUUAGGUCCUUGUCAAUCCCGAUUAAUAUCAACCGUGAAGAAAAGUAGAGGAUUGAAAGGUGGUUUUAUGGUUAAUAUCAUUGGUGAGUUAGAGGAUAUUGCAUCAAGCCCUUCUCAUCAAACACCUUUAGUACCAUAUGCUAAUGAUGACAGACCAGUUUUAGCAUCACCCCAAACUAAUGAUGAUGAUAAUAAGACCAGCAACCAAAAAAAAAAGGGGUCCGACAAAGUGCCUUAAAACUCAUGGUUUAAGCUAUGAGGAUCGGCUGCCAAUAAGAUUAAAUAAGUAUGGUCAACCAAU